rfam:Felis catus isolate Cinnamon breed Abyssinian chromosome C2, whole genome shotgun sequence.
GCCUGGGUGGCUUGGUCGGUUAAGCGUCUGACUUCGGCUCAGGUCAUGAUCUCAUGGUCCGUGAGUUCGAGCCCCGCGUCGGGCU